rnacentral:pre_miRNA from 1 species
AAGUUUAUUUUUGGGUAAGUUGGUCAAUUGACCAAUAGAGUAUUAACAUGUAGGCGAGACUUUAUGUGUGUUAAUAUUUUACUGACCAAUUGAUCAACUUACCCAAAAAAACUU